GGGAAUUCGAUUAGAGUUUGAUCAUGGCUCAGGACGAACGCUGGCGGCGUGCCUAAUACAUGCAAGUCGAGCGGACAGAUGGGAGCUUGCUCCCUGAUGUUAGCGGCGGACGGGUGAGUAACACGUGGGUAACCUGCCUGUAAGACUGGGAUAACUCCGGGAAACCGGGGCUAAUACCGGAUGCUUGUUUGAACCGCAUGGUUCAGACAUAAAAGGUGGCUUCGGCUACCACUUACAGAUGGACCCGCGGCGCAUUAGCUAGUUGGUGAGGUAACGGCUCACCAAGGCAACGAUGCGUAGCCGACCUGAGAGGGUGAUCGGCCACACUGGGACUGAGACACGGCCCAGACUCCUACGGGAGGCAGCAGUAGGGAAUCUUCCGCAAUGGACGAAAGUCUGACGGAGCAACGCCGCGUGAGUGAUGAAGGUUUUCGGAUCGUAAAGCUCUGUUGUUAGGGAAGAACAAGUGCCGUUCAAAUAGGGCCGCACCUUGACGGUACCUAACCAGAAAGCCACGGCUAACUACGUGCCAGCAGCCGCGGUAAUACGUAGGUGGCAAGCGUUGUCCGGAAUUAUUGGGCGUAAAGGGCUCGCAGGCGGUUUCUUAAGUCUGAUGUGAAAGCCCCCGGCUCAACCGGGGAGGGUCAUUGAAAACUGGGGAACUUGAGUGCAGAAGAGGAGAGUGGAAUUCCACGUGUAGCAGUGAAAUGCGUAGAGAUGUGGAGGAACACCAGUGGCGAAGGCGACUCUCUGGUCUGUAACUGACGCUGAGGAGCGAAAGCGUGGGGAGCGAACAGGAUUAGAUACCCUGGUAGUCCACGCCGUAAACGAUGANUGCUAAGUGUUAGGGGGUUUCNGCCCCNUAGUGCUGCAGCUAACGCGU
rnacentral:rRNA from 1 species